GCAACGGCGGCUUCGGCUGUCCACUUCAUGGCAUGGCACCCGCGUCGCGGUUAGCUCAGUUGGUGCAGGUCNACGGCUCACCAAGGCAACGAUGCGUAGCCGACCUGAGAGGGUGAUCGGCCACACUGGGACUGAGACCACGGCCCAGACUCCUACGGGAGGCAGCAGUAGGGAAUCUUCCGCAAUGGACGAAAGUCUGACGGAGCAACGCCGCGUGAGUGAUGAAGGCUUUCGGGUCGUAAAACUCUGUUGUAAGGGAAGAACAAGUGCUAGUUGAAUAAGCUGGCACCUUGACGGUACCUAACCAGAAAGCCACGGCUAACUACAGUGCCAGCCAGCCGCGGUAACUACNUACNGU
rnacentral:rRNA from 1 species